GAGUUUGAUUCUGGCUCAGAUUGAACGCUGGCGGCAUGCUUUACACAUGCAAGUCGGACGGCAGCACAAAGAAGCUUGCUUCUUGGGUGGCGAGUGGCGAACGGGUGAGUAACGCAUCGGAACGUACCGAGUAGUGGGGGAUAACUGUCCGAAAGGAUGGCUAAUACCGCAUACGCUUUGAGAAGGAAAGCGGGGGAUCUUCGGACCUCGCGCUAUUCGAGCGGCCGAUGUCUGAUUAGCUAGUUGGUGGGGUAAAGGCCUACCAAGGCGACGAUCAGUAGCGGGUCUGAGAGGAUGAUCCGCCACACUGGGACUGAGACACGGCCCAGACUCCUACGGGAGGCAGCAGUGGGGAAUUUUGGACAAUGGGCGCAAGCCUGAUCCAGCCAUGCCGCGUGUCUGAAGAAGGCCUUCGGGUUGUAAAGGACUUUUGUCAGGGAAGAAAAGCCUUGAGGCUAAUACCCCUUAAGUGAUGA
rnacentral:rRNA from 1 species